AGGAUGAACGCUGGCGGCGUGCCUAACACAUGCAAGUCGAACGUCCUGUCUCGCAAGAGGCAGGGAGUGGCGGACGGGUGAGUACCACGUGGGUCAUCUACCGUGAGGUGAGGAAUACCGGCGAGAAAUCGCCGACAAGACCGCAUAGCCUCGGUGCAAGCCGAGGAAAGCUUUCUCGAGAGAGGGAGCGCCACACGAGGAGCCUGCGCCCGAUUAGCUAGCUGGUGGAGUAACGGUUCACCAGGGCGACGAUCGGUAGCUGGUCUGAGAGGACGAUCAGCCACACUGGGAUUGAGAACGGCCCAGACUCCUACGGGGGGCAGCAGUGAGGAAUUUUCGUCAAUGGGGGCAACCCUGAACGAGCAACGCCGCGUGCAGGAAGAAGGUUUUCGGAUCGUAAACUGCUUUUCGUCGGGAAGAGAACGGACGGUACCCGAGGAAUCAGCCCCGGCUAACUACGUGCCAGCAGCCGCGGUAA
rnacentral:rRNA from 1 species